CUGAGAUCAUGACCUGAGCUGAAGGCAGAAGCUUAACCCACUGAGCCAUCCAGGUACCCCUAAAAUUUUUUUUUAAAAAGAUUUUGUCAGAGAGAGAGCAUGCACAAGCAAGGGGAGAGGCAGGCAGAGGAAGAAGCAGGCUCUCCUCUGAGCAGGGAGCCUGAUGUGGGACUCGAUCCCAGGAGCCUGGAAUUAUGAUCUGGGCCGAAGGCAGACGCUUAAUUGACGGAGCCAGCCAGACGUCCCAAGAGGUUGGAUUUUAGAUGCUUUCAAAAUACAGCCAGCAGAAUUGACUUUAGGUAGGAGCAAAGACCGUUCAUUCCCAGUAACAGGAGAGGAUGUAGAGAAUAUAGGCACAGACAUGUGUGAGGGCGAAUGGGAUGAUGCAGCACUGGAAGUUCUAAGUGACUGUUUCUAUUUCUUCUGAGAAAGGGGAAACAAUGAUCAAAGAAGGAGUGGCAAUUUAAAGAGAGGAAACUAUAUGAAAUACUUCCAUAAGAAAGCCAGAGAAUGACUAGAUCAGGGAGAUGAUUCCCGAGCAGUUCCAAGAGUCUGCUCCAGUUUAGGAGUCAUGAAAAUAAAGUCAGUCAGCACAGCUGUUAUGUACCUCCAGCCAGGUUCAGCUUGUCAGAAGAGGCUGGGAGAAGUGGAAGUGAAGAGGUGGCUCCCACUGAGAUUGGAGUUUUCAAGGAACAUUUCAAAUCCAAGGGCCCUGUGAACUCAGUGGUUCUGCCCUGAUCUGACCUGCUUCCUCCUUCCCACUCAAAGCACUACUAGCAUGCGGGUAAGCUGAUCCCAUUCCCUGUCCUCCCAGCUGGCGUACCUGUACAAAGGUGGAAGAGACCAGCCUAGGAAAGCCAUAGAGCAGUAUUUGGAGCUAAAUAAUAGCUAAUAAAGAGACUUAUGGUAGAGGUUUGGAAAUGGGUAGGGUCUAUUUGUGUUGGACUGAGUUGGGCUCCUAUCUAGCCCAGGAGUGGAGACCCCUAUCCUUUGUAGGCAAGACUUUAGAGCCUCAGUUUCCUGCCCCAUACAUUGGAGUUUAGUCCAUAGCAAUAACUCUUUAGCAGGAACAUGUAUGCAGAAAAAUGAGUUUAGAACCUUAAAUCUCUUUCUUUCUCUACCCAGUUCUUGGCCCAGAUCCUCACUUCCAUGUGGAGAUCACUAAGUCCAGAGAAAUCCA
rnacentral:lncRNA from 1 species